CCCAGCGGAGUGAAGAAAAUACAUGAACCUCACGGGACUCACUCCUCAGUUUAUACCGUGUUUUGUUUCAAUUAAUGUAUCAUUUAGUUACAAAUAUGUGAUCUGAACAAAAGUGGUCAAAAAUCAUUAUUGGAAACAUUUUCAUGAUCGCUUUUUUCGUUUUACAGUUUCAUUUAUUGUCAUUUCCAUUCAAUCACAGCUGAGGCAUGAAUCCUUGAUUUCACUCGGUUUAAAAGCCCUGCCUCCAGCAUGCAGCUGGCACAUUUGAAAGACAUGGCGGCAGAAAAACUACACAAGUGGACGGAGGCCCAAACCAGAGCCCUCAUUCAACAGAGGACUGACAAUGAGCACCUGUUUACAGGAAAGAGGUUCACAGCCAAGAAGGCCUGGGGAGAGGUUCUGCAGAAGAUGGAGUUGGAGGAGUUGCUCACUCCCACCCAACUGGCAAAAA